UGAAGUUAUCAAGGACUGGAACGGGUUGCUCAGAGUUGUGGAACCUUCAUCCUUGGAGAUUCUCAACACCUGACUGGAUCUUGCCCUGAGUAGCCAGAGCUUUUUGUUAUCCUGUGAUCUCAUAGUUGGAGCAAGCAGAUCUGAGGAUGCUGUGAAGGACAGAAUGGAAGGAGAAGAGCAAAAGGAGCAUCAGGCAAUGAGAACUGAAUAUAACCCUCUGUGUCCCCUUUGGAAGCACACCCUGGUGGUUCAAUGAGGAACAUGAGUCACUGCUGCUGCUGGGCUUUGACCAAGCACCUGUUUUAAAGAGGGGAGGGAAUUCUGACAGCUGAAGAUCAGGACAGGCUCUUCACCCCUCUGCUCCACAAGUGCCUGACAGUAGCAGGACAGCACAGGUUGCCAUAGGACAGGUGUCUGAGAUACAAGAACAGGUACCCCCAAGGGGUGGACAGGGAUGUUUGUGCUGGCUGAGAUUUUCUCAUAUGCAAGGGAGGUGAGAUUGUGGGUACAGGAGUAGGAGUGAAGCCACCGCAGUCAAUUCACUUCUGACAAAAUCCAGCUGGAAAUACAGACACUGGAACCCUACCCAACAGGAAGGGCACCUGGGCUAAAGAGAACAGGCAUGUGGCUUGAUGUGUGCCAGAGUGGGCACUGCCAGCAGUGGGAAACAGCUGAAGAGGAGGCAGGAGAGCAUCAAAGGGCUUGUCACAGUCCACAGAGAUCUACACCAAGAAACUCCUGGGCUCAGCAGCUUUCUCUCCCUACACAGAAAUAG